CCUACGGGGUGCACCAGUGAGGAAUAUUGGUCAAUGGGCGCAAGCCUGAACCAGCCAUGCCGCGUGCUGGAUGAAGCAUCUAUGGUGUGUAAACUGCUUUUGGACGGGAAGAAACACCCCUUCGUGAAGGGGCUUGACGGUACCGUAAGAAUAAGGAUCGGCUAACUCCGUGCCAGCAGCCGCGGUAAUACGGAGGAUCCAAGCGUUAUCCGGAAUCAUUGGGUUUAAAGGGUCCGUAGGCGGUUUUGUAAGUCAGUGGUGAAAUCCGGCAGCUCAACUGUCGAACUGCCAUUGAUACUGCAGGACUUGAAUUAUUGUGAAGUAACUAGAAAAUGUAGUGUAGCGGUGAAAUGCUUAGAUAUUACAUGGAAUACCAAUUGCGAAGGCAGGUUACUAACAGUGGAUUGACGCUGAUGGACGAAAGCGUGGGGAGCGAACAGGAUUAGAUACCCGCGUAGUC
rnacentral:rRNA from 1 species